UGUGUGAUCUGUGUGUUGUGCACGUUCUGUGUGUGCUGUGUGUGUAUAUGUGUAUGUAUGUACGUAUGUACGUAUGUACGUGUGUAUGUAUGUACGUAUCUAUGUAUGUGUGUAUGUUCGUAUGAACCGCUCCACAGUUGGCUCCGAGGAUCUGCGGCUCCGCACUUGACUCCCGGGCUCCUCCUGGAGGGAAAAGGGGGAAGUGAACCGCCGAAUGUUUCCUGCACCUGUAGAUGGGCUCACGCGCCCCCGGCUCGCUCCGCAUUCGCUCCGCGUUCCCGCGCCGGCAGAGAGCACGGGGUGCGCGCGCGAGGCGCAAGGAGGAGCGACGGCAGCGGUGGUGGUGGCGGCGAAGGGGGGCGAGCGAGCUAGCGAGCGAACGGCUUUUCCAUUUCUCUCUCUCUCUAUCUCUCUCUCUCUCUCUCUGUCUGUCGCGCGCGCGCCUGAUCUCUCCGUCGUCUCUCCGCGAGCGGUGCGGGAGCGCGAUGGAGGACACCGAGAGCGCUCCGUGCGCGUCCGAGGACGGACACCUGGGCACCUGGCGCUGGAGCAGGACGGCCCGGGAGCAGGUGCAGCUGAAGCAGAAGAUCAGGGAGCUGCCGGCGCUGCUCAAGCACGGGCUGCAUUUGCGCAGGAAGAGUUCCCCGGACACCAUCCCAGGCCCCAGCGCUGCAUUCGCCAGGAAUAAGGCCUGUUCCCAGAGCUUCCCCUGCGCUGGGCGGGCGCUCAGGAACGCCUUCCUGUCUCACGGCCCAUACCCAGCCAAAGAGCGCGUGCACCUGGCCCGGAUCAUCAGGUAACUGUGGCGCGAUCGCACGCACGCGUGUGUUUCUCUGCAU
rnacentral:lncRNA from 1 species